rnacentral:sRNA from 1 species
GGCUGGUUCCGGGUUGAGAGGCUGCGCUGGACCGAAGCGGUGGCUGCUAAGCCCGCGCGGCCUCAAGGACGAGCUGCUGUGCUCCAUCUGCCUGAGCAUCUACCAGGACCCGGUGAGCCUGGGCUGCGAGCACUACUUCUGCCGCCGCUGCAUCACCGAGCACUGGGUGCGGCAGGAGGCGCAGGGCGCCCGCGACUGCCCCGAGUGCCGGCGCACGUUCGCCGAGCCCGCGCUGGCGCCCAGCCUCAAGCUGGCCAACAUCGUGGAGCGCUACAGCGCCUUCCCGCUGGACGCCAUCCUCAACGCGCGCCGCGCCGCGCGACCCUGCCAGGCGCACGACAAGGUCAAGCUCUUCUGCCUCACGGACCGCGCGCUGCUCUGCUUCUUCUGCGACGAGCCUGCGCUGCACGAGCAGCAUCAGGUCACCGGUAUCGACGACGCCUUCGACGAGCUGCAGAGGGAGCUGAAGGAGCAACUUCAGGCCCUUCAAGACAGCGAGCGGGAGCACACCGAAGCGCUGCAGCUGCUCAAGCGACAACUGGCGGAGACCAAGUCUUCCACCAAGAGCCUGCGGACCACUAUUGGUGAGGCCUUCGAGCGGCUACACCGGUUGCUGCGCGAGCGCCAGAAGGCCAUGCUAGAGGAGCUGGAGGCAGACACAGCCCGCACGCUGACCGACAUCGAGCAGAAAGUCCAGCGCUACAGCCAGCAGCUGCGCAAGGUGCAGGAGGGAGCCCAGAUCCUGCAGGAGCGGCUGGCCGAAACCGACCGGCACACCUUCCUGGCUGGGGUGGCCUCACUGUCCG